rnacentral:rRNA from 1 species
GAUGAACGCUGGCGGCGUGCCUAAUACAUGCAAGUCGAGCGGUAAGGCCCUUCGGGGUACACGAGCGGCGGACGGCUGAGUAACACGUAGGAACGUACCCCAAACUGAGGGAUAAGCACCAGAAAUGGUGUCUAAUACCGCAUGUGGCCUUCGGGCUAAAGCUCCGGCGGUUUGGGAACGGCCUGAGUCCGAUUAGCUAGUUGGUAGUGUAAUGGACUACCAAGGCGACGAUCGGUAGCUGGUCUGAGAGGAUGAUCAGCCAGACUGGGACUGAGACACGGCCCAGACUCCUACGGGAGGCAGCAGUAGGGAAUUUUCCACAAUGGGGGCAACCCUGAUGGAGCAACGCCGCGUGCAGGAUGAAGGCCUUCGGGUUGUAAACUGCUUUUAUCUGUGACGAUUAUGACGGUAGCAGAUGAAUAAGGACCUGCUAACUACGUGCCAGCCGCCGCUGUAA